AGAGUUUGAUCAUGGCUCAGAAUGAACGUUGGCGGCGUGGAUUAGGCAUGCAAGUCGAACGCUUUGUGUAGCAAUACAUGAAGAGUGGCGUAAGGGAGAGGAAUACAUGGUUAGCUACCCUUGGGACUGGGAUAGCGGCGGGAAACUGCCGGUAAUACCAGAUGACGUCUUCGGACCAAACGUGUGAACCGGCCCGAGGAGGCGACCAUGACCUAUCAGCUAGUUGGCGGUGUAAUAGACCACCAAGGCUAAGACGGGUAUGGGGCGUGAGAGCGUGCCCCCACUCACUGGGACUGAGACACUGCCCAGACACCUACGGGUGGCUGCAGUCGAGAAUCUUCGGCAAUGGGCGAAAGCCUGACCGAGCGACGCCGCGUGCGGGAUGAAGGCCUUCGGGUUGUAAACCGCUGUCGUAGGGGAGGAAGAUGCCGUGAAGAACGGUGUUGACCGAUCCUAGAGAAG
rnacentral:rRNA from 1 species